AUACGUAGGGGGCGAGCGUUGUCCGGAUUUAUUGGGCGUAAAGGGUGCGUAGGCGGCCUUGUAAGUCAGAUGUGAAAUCUCACGGCUUAACCGUGGUAAGCAUUUGAAACUGUGAGGCUUGAGUACAGGAGAGGAGAGUGGAAUUCCUAGUGUAGCGGUGAAAUGCGUAGAUAUUAGGAGGAAUACCAGUGGCGAAGGCGACUCUCUGGACUGUAACUGACGCUGAGGCACGAAAGCGUGGGGAGCAAACAGGAUUAGAUACCCUGGUAGUCCACGCCGUAAACGAUGAGUGCUAGGUGUCGGAGGUCAAACCUCGGUGCCGCAGUUAACACAUUAAGCACUCCGCCUGGGGAGUACGGUGGCAACACUGAA
rnacentral:rRNA from 1 species